UGGCUCAGUUGGUAGAGCAUGGCGCUUGCAAUGCAAGGGUUAUGGGCUCGAUUCCCGU
rnacentral:tRNA from 1 species